UAUAGAAAUGUUUCAAUUGCUGGAUGGUA
rnacentral:piRNA from 2 species